rnacentral:lncRNA from 1 species
AAUAUCUGUGUAAGGACUUUAGGACCUGAGUUGUUCUGCCCUCUCAGUGCCUGGAAUUUCUUUUUCAGAUGGUCUGAGCAAGUUUAUAUUUCUCCCUCUAAAUUAUAGUUUCAGGCACUGGGAAAAGGGAAACAUGUUAGGUGCUUUUCCUUCUGGGAGAACAAGGACCAAUGGGCUAGGAAGAAUGAGUCUAGGAGAAAAAAAAAGGAUAAAGACACCUCCCUUUCAUUGAGAGCUGUUCCUAAUGCAGACACUGGUUUCAAAUGUUCCGGGGACACAAGGAUUGGAAAAUGGAAAGUCCAAAAUCUUUCAGAUUCCUCAAUGUUUACAAGCCGCUCCGUCAUCUGGGAAUGGGAGCUUCUUGGAAACACUCAAGUUUAAAGGAGUUUAAAAGUUAAAGUAGCCUGAAAAAAACUGUGGUUUCUCUACCUUCCAGAAAGUCUAUAUGCUACAUAUUAUAGCCAUCAAUUGCUGGCCUUGAACAUAACAAAUGCAUUAAUAAACCUGGAAUCUUGAACUUGGAAGAUAGCUUG